GGGGAUUUAGCUCAGUGGUAGAGCGCUUGCCUAGCAAGCAUAAGGCCCUGGGUUCGGUCCCCAGCUCUG
rfam:Rattus norvegicus chromosome 2, whole genome shotgun sequence.